UACAGAGGGUGCAAGCGUUAAUCGGAAUUAUUGGGCGUAAAGGGCGCGUAGGCGGUUCGGCAAGUCUCUAGUGAAAUCUCAGGGCUCAACUCUGAGUCUGCUGGGGAAACUGCCGGGCUUGAGUGUGGGAGAGGUGAGUGGAAUUCCUGGUGUAGCGGUGAAAUGCGUAGAUAUCUGGAGGAACACCGGUGGCGAAGGCGGCAUCCUGGACCAAUUCUGACGCUGAGGAGCGAAAGCCAGGGGAGCAAACGGG
rnacentral:rRNA from 1 species